rnacentral:rRNA from 1 species
UACGUAGGGGCCGAGCGUUGUCCGGAGUUACUGGGCGUAAAGCGCGCGCAGGCGGCCACUUAAGCCCGGCGUGAAAGCCCCCGGCUCAACCGGGGAAUGGGCGCCGAUACGACCGUCCUGGAGGAACGUAGGGGGACCUGGAACUUCCGGUGGAGCGGUGAAAUGCGUUGAGAUCGGAAGGAACGCCCGUGGCGAAAGCGAGGUCCUGGACGUUUUCUGACGCUGAGACGCGAAAGCCAGGGGAGCGAACGGG